AAUAAAUCAAUUUUUCACUUUUUAUCUAUAAUUUUUUACUCUUCGUCUUAUUCAAAUUUUUUUUACGAUUGAUAUUUUUGUUUUUAUUAGAUGAUAAAUCAUCACUAAUACUUUAUGUGUGACUAAUUUUUUUCUAAUUUCCAGAAACUUUUUAAAAUAAAACAGAUGGUCAAACGUUGGAUACGGAAACCGAAG
rnacentral:pre_miRNA from 1 species